rnacentral:lncRNA from 1 species
CCUUCUCUAAGUUUUUUUUCUUGUUUUCUUUAUUGCUGUUACUACUGCAAACUAAAUUAGGCUCUUUUUCUGUUCUUCUUUAGCUUCUGAAACUGUGUUCAGCGGUACUUCCCAAGAGCUCACUUAGCCAAUGCAGAUAUGUUAUGGAACUGAUAGGGAACAGGAAGAUGACAAGCAGAAAACAGUUUUCACCGUCUUCAUGCUUCCAAGAGGAUAG